rnacentral:rRNA from 1 species
UACGUAGGUGGCAAGCGUUGUCCGGAUUUACUGGGCGUAAAGAGCGCGCAGGCGGUCGUUCAAGUCGCGUGUGAAAGCCCCCAGCUCAACUGGGGAGGGUCACGCGAUACUGAUCGACUCGAAGGCAGGAGAGGGUAGUGGAAUUCCCGGUGUAGUGGUGAAAUGCGUAGAGAUCGGGAGGAACACCCGUGGCGAAGGCGGCCAUCUGGACCAGCACUGACGCUGAGGCACGAAAGCGUGGGGAGCAAACAGG